GCAAAUGUCCACCAUAUGCUAAGAUACGAAAUACAGAAAAGACACAGCCUGUACUUUAAGUAUGGAGGGUAAAGCAGAAGAUAGGGCAAAACAUACAGAGAAAUAAGACGUGAAAACAUACGACAGGAGAUGCUCUAAACAAAAGCACAAACAAGGUGGGGGAAUCUCAAGAUGUAACGGCGAGCGAGUGAGGCCAGAUACAAAGGAAUACAGACUGUAUGAUUCUAUUUACAUGAAGCUCAAGAAGCACAGCUCUUCUGUUAUCAGAAGACAGAAGAGUGGUUACCUGUUCCUGGUGGGUGGAUGAUAAUGGACUGAGAAGGAAACAUCCUAGAUCUCGACACAGGUGGUGCUUUCCUGGGAAAUACGUUUGUAAAAAUUCAUCAACCUGCACCCUUAAGAUGUGUGCCCUUUAUGUAUGUUAUUCCACAAUUUUUUUUUUUUUUUUUGGUGAAGAAGAUUGGCCCUGAGCUAACAUGUGUUGCCAAUGUUUUUCCUCUUUUUGCUUGAGGAAGAUUGCUGCUGAGCUAACAACUGUGCCAAUCUUCCUCUAUUUUAUGCGGGACGCCACCACAGAAUGGCUUGAUGAGCAGUGUGUAGGUCUGCACCCCAGAUCCAAACCCUUGAACUCUGGGCCGCGAAAGCCAAGCACACGAACUUAACCACUACACCACUGUGCUGGGCGGUGUCCACUCCAGUAGCUCCUUGAGCGCCACACCCAUCUUUAAAUAGCAGUUCCUGUUGGCAGUCAGCUCAGCCCAUUACUUUCGCGCAGUCCUCAUGAUUUGUACAGCCAACAUCUAGAAAACCAUUUGGUUUUUCUACCAAACAAAUCUCAUCUCAAUCGCCAAGAUGCAGAUCGGUUUCUGAGACACUGCGCAUCUCCUGUGCUAGCAGCAACACCAAAAUAAGGGGACGUGGAUCGGCACUGGGCUGUGGCAUGGGCCUCCAGUUUGCCUUCAGAAAUGAACUUCCUUCAGAUCCCAGGAAAUCUGGGGAGUAAGAGAGAAACAGAAUGAAAGUUCGAGAAGGGGACAGAAAGUGUCUUCUCUCAAACCGUAAAUCAUAGAAAUUGAA
rnacentral:lncRNA from 1 species